rnacentral:lncRNA from 1 species
UGAGAGACAGAAGAUGUUGGAAGACAUGGAACGAGACUUCAAAGAUUCUCAACAUACCCUUCCUACCUGUAGCCGCUACAAAAGAUCUUGAAUAACUAAUCUGAGACAAAUUUUGAUGUAUUGUUACAGCUGCUAAGAGACAGUAUGCUUGAAGAAAUUGAACGUGAAUUCGAAGGUCUCUUAUUAUCAAAUGCAAUAGAAUCCAACUAAACGAGUUCACUGAUUAUGAUCAACUGUUUUGUAUUAAAUCUUGUUUCAGCUGCUAAGAGGAGGUAGCAAAAGGGUGGGUCGUUAGCCUCA